rnacentral:tRNA from 1 species
GGGCCUCUAGCUCAAUCUGGCAGAGCAACGGACUCUUAAUCCGCAGGUUCCGGGUUCGAGUCCCGGGGGGCCCACCC